rnacentral:rRNA from 1 species
UACGAAGGGUGCAAGCGUUACUCGGAAUUACUGGGCGUAAAGCGUGCGUAGGUGGUUUGUUAAGUCAGACGUGAAAUCCCCCGGCUUAACCUGGGAACUGCGUCUGAUACUGGGAGGCUUGAGUAUGGGAGAGGGAUGUAGAAUUCCAGGUGUAGCGGUGAAAUGCGUAGAUAUCUGGAGGAAUACCGGUGGCGAAGGCGGCAUCCUGGACCAUUACUGACGCUGAGGCGCGAAAGCUAGGGGAGCAAACGGG